rnacentral:lncRNA from 1 species
UCAAACUUCCCCAUACCUAUAUUUUGCUCGUCCUCGAGUAAAAUCAAAAGAAAAGAAAAUAAACUAUGAAAACUAGAUGCGAUUCCUAGGCUCCUUUUCGUAGGCAUGACAGAUGAUUUUAGGUUCACCAACCCGUUAAACUCGUAGACGAUCUCUACAAGAGGAGUUUUGUCUCCUAAGGGUUUACAGAAGAUAUACCCAUAAAAUCUUCGAGACCUUCUAGCAAGUGUCUACUCGACUCUACUCUAAUUUCGUUGGUGUUAACAAAAAGUGUUUUUAAGGAAAAUA